AAAACUUCAAAAAGCUCUCCCCUUCCCCGUCGUCCGGCGUUCAGUCCGGUCAUCGGCCACCGCGCCGGCACUGCCGUUCGCAGUGGUCGGAAAAAGAGAAAAUCUCCUAUUCGAUCGUUUUGAAGCCCCCAAGCCCAAAUAUGGGUUCAAAUCUUCCAAAAAACCAAAAGAAAAUGCGAAGUAAAUCCGAAACCUUUCGGUUUCCGGCCAUCGAUCCUCGGGGGUGGCUCCCUCAACCGUCCACGGCGGUUCUAAUUCGAAUAAAGGUAGCUUCUUUCCUUUUUUAUUUGUUUUAUUUAAAUACGAAUAAAAAAUAACAGUAGAUUUAAAUAAAGCAAAAUAAAAAAAAAACUAUAGAUGUAAACCUUUGGAUUGAUUUUUGCUCUGUGUUAUAUUUGCUUGUGAAAAUAAUUGUAUUCUUUAUUGAUUUUUUUCCGAUCCUUGUUACAGUACUUCAAUGGCUAUUUUAUAGCCGAAUGAAAUAAAUCUAAAGAAGAAACAAAUCUGUUUCUUUAUUUGAUUUUCGAAUAUUUGAUUGUGUUUCCUUUUUUUUGUUUUUUCUUGAUGUGUAGAUGUGAAGAUCGGGGACGCUUGUGGCUGCGGCGCAAAGGGUUUCCUCAGAAAUCCUAGGGUUUCUGCAACAAAUUUGGGCCACCGAGCUUCGGGCCUCUGUCUUUUUUUGGUUUGGGCCCUUAUAGGCUUGUUUGUAAUUUGGGUCUUUUAGACCCGGGCAAAAUAGGGUAUUACAGAUUGUGCUAUCAAUCGGGACAUCUUUCUUGUCUAUUCUGAGUUUCUCACUUGAGCCCACGGGAUUCCGAGCAUUCGUGGCUUGCUCUAGUUUGAACUUUUUCACCAUGUUAGCUGUGCAUAUAUUUUUUGAUUGACAAAUAUACUCCUUCUAGUUGUUUAACUUGUAAUCCGAGAAAGUACGUGAGUUCUUCGAUCAUGGUCAUCUCAAACUUGGAUUUUAUGGGUUGAAUGAACUCGUUUCUUACCAUUUAUUUCAGACUUUAUGAAUACAUUUUCAAAAAGAAAAUACGAA
rnacentral:lncRNA from 1 species